rnacentral:rRNA from 1 species
UACGUAGGGUGCAAGCGUUGUCCGGAAUUAUUGGGCGUAAAGAGCUCGUAGGCGGUUCGCUGCGUCGGCUGUGAAAACCUGAGGCUCAACCUCAGGCCUGCAGUCGAUACGGGCGGACUUGAGUACUGCAGGGGAGACUGGAAUUCCUGGUGUAGCGGUGAAAUGCGCAGAUAUCAGGAGGAACACCGGUGGCGAAGGCGGGUCUCUGGGCCGUAACUGACGCUGAGGAGCGAAAGCGUGGGGAGCGAACAGG